CGAGUACCUUUCCUUUGAACCCACCUGCCUGCAAAUACGAUCCCUCUUGUCUUCGCGUGCUGGAAUUUCAUAGACAUGGAAACAGGGCCUGAGGUUUCACACGGGAACAAGGGUGGUGCUGGUUGCUGCUAGGGUAAACACCUGGUAGUAAACUAGUAACAUUAGCCACAUUUGCCAGCAGAGCAACCAAACGAAGACGAAAACUAAAAGACGCUUGGGAAACUUUUGGUACCUUUGAAGCCACCCGCCUGCCAAUGCGACCCCUCAUGUCCUCAUGCCGGAAAAUCAGGACUAAAUUGAAGCAUGGGUCCAACCAUGUCUCACUCAUUUUCAUGAGGAGUAUUUGGUUUGAAGGAGGUUGGUCAACCAUGAGCAAUCAUUCAGGGAGUAGCUCUCAUUUCCGCCAUCUGAUGGUUGUUGUUGUGAUCUCCAGCGGCGGUGGUGCACUUCCUUGUGUCUAGCACCAACAAGGCAGUGGGGUUAUCACCCCGUAAUAUUUGCGUCGGCUCCCACAACUGUCUUCUCGGUUCCCACCACUCAAGUCAAUCACAAUAGCAGCGAUGCAGGAAAGCUCCUUGACUUGAAAACGCUGGCACUCUUAGGAUGUGGAGCUGUCCUCCUCAGGCGGGUUGGCUGCAUAGUGAAUGAUCUUCUCGAUGGCGGCAUCGAUAACAAGGUGAUUUUGUUUGGUUUUUUCUGUAGUUUGUUCUGGAUGCGGACAACACC